rnacentral:rRNA from 1 species
UUGUCUUUUAAAUAAAGACCAGUAUGAAUGGCAAGACGAAAGUUCAACUGUCUCCCUAAAUUAAUCAAUGAAAUUGAUCUCCCCGUGCAGAAGCGGGAAUAAAAUUAUAAGACGAGAAGACCCUAUGGAGCUUUAAAUAUAUGAUCAAUUGUAUAAUAUAAAAUUCAAUAGAUUAAACAUUAAAUUAAACAUUAUGAUCAAAAUUUUAGGUUGGGGCGACCACGGAGUAAAACAAAACCUCCGAGAUGAAAAGAAUAUCUUAAUUUAUGAACUACAGUUCUAAUAAAUAAAAUAUUUAACAUAAUUGAUCCAAUAUAUUGAUCAACGAACUAAGUUACCCUAGGGAUAACAGCGCAAUCCUUUCCAAGAGUCCCUAUCGACGAAUGGGUUUACGACCUCGAUGUUGGAUCAGGACACCCCAAUGGUGCAGCCGCUAUUAAAGGUUCGUUUGUUCAACGAUUAAAGU